UACCCGCAAUUUUUUUUUUUCUUUUUUCUCUUAUAUUUUUUAAAUGCAAAUACAUAUAAAUAAGUUUUAAAAAUAUAGCAUAAUUUAUUAUUUAAAAUAUCAUAACAUACAAUAAAAAUAUUUAAAGUCUUAAAAUAAAAAAAUUUCGUAAUAUAAAAGACGCGGUAAGAAAUUAGGGUUAGAAUUUUUAAGAUGGAUAAAUAAAAAUAUAUGUAUUUUAAUUAAGAAAAUAUAUUUUUUAAUUAAAAAGUAUAUGUGCGGGUACCCGUGGGUACCCGCGGGUUACCCAAAAUGCCCACAGCUUAAUGGGUACCCACCCGUUUUACCCGUAAUUUUUUGGGUUUGAAAAGUUGGUACCCAUACCCGCAAAUUUGCGGGUAACCCGCGGGCACUCGCGGGUAUGGGUCGAGAUUGCCAGGU
rnacentral:lncRNA from 1 species